rnacentral:rRNA from 1 species
AGAGUUUGAUCAUGGCUCAGAGUGAACGCUGGCGGCAGGCCUAACACAUGCAAGUCGAACGGCAGCACAGAGGAGCUUGCUCCUUGGGUGGCGAGUGGCGGACGGGUGAGGAAUACGUCGGAAUCUGCCUAUUUGUGGGGGAUAACGUAGGGAAACUUACGCUAAUACCGCAUACGACCUACGGGUGAAAGCGGAGGACCUUCGGGCUUCGCGCAGAUAGAUGAGCCGACGUCGGAUUAGCUAGUUGGCGGGGUAAAGGCCCACCAAGGCGACGAUCCGUAGCUGGUCUGAGAGGAUGAUCAGCCACACUGGAACUGAGACACGGUCCAGACUCCUACGGGAGGCAGCAGUGGGGAAUAUUGGACAAUGGGCGCAAGCCUGAUCCAGCCAUGCCGCGUGUGUGAAGAAGGCCUUCGGGUUGUAAAGCACUUUUGUCCGGAAAGAAAAGCAUUCGGUUAAUACCCGGGUGUUCUGACGGUACCGGAAGAAUAAGCACCGGCUAACUUCGUGCCAGCAGCCGCGGUAAUUC